GGGCGAUUAGCUCAGCUGGUUCAGAGCACCUCGUUUACACCGAGGGGGUCGGGAGUUCGAAUCUCUCAUCGCCCACAA
rnacentral:tRNA from 1 species